rnacentral:rRNA from 1 species
GCCUUCAGAUUAGCCUGCAAGUCUAAGUUCCAUCAUCGAUGAUGAAACUGCGAAGCGCUCAGUAAAUCGUUUAUUGUGCGUUCGGUCUAGCAGCCAGGGAUAAGUGUGGUAAAUCUAGAGCUAAGACUUAGCAAAUCUCGCACUUGUGCGGGAGCAUUUAUUAGACUCAACCAACUGGCCUUGGCCAUUUGAUGAAUCCUAAUAACUGAGCAUAUCGAACAUUUAUUUGUCGAUAAUCCGAUCGAAUUUCUGCCCUAUCAACUAGUUGGAGAGGUAGUGGGUCACCAAGGUUGGGACGGGUAACGGGGGAUCAUGGUUCGAUUCCGGAGAGGGAGCCUGAAAAACGGCUACCACAUCUAAGGAAGGCAGCAGGCGCGCAAAUUACCCAAUCCAGACUUUGGGAGGUAGUGACGAGAAAUACCGGAGUAGACCGUUAUAUGGUUCACUAUCGGAAUGAACGUAAUCCAAUACCUUCGAUGAAUAGCAACUGGAGGGCAAGUCUGGUGCCAGCAGCCGCGGUAAUUCCAGCUCCAGUAGUGUAUAUCAAAAUUGUUGCGGUUAAAACGCUCGUAGUUGGAUUACAAAAGCUCUUUGGUGGUCAAAUCUAGGUUUGGCCGCUGUGGGGUUUUUUUAUCGCGAGAGCCGCUCGUGGGAUUCAUUUCUUGUGGGCGGUCACUUGCGAGGUGUGCCUUGAAUAAAGCACAGUGCUCAAAGCAGGCGUAUGCUCGUAUGUUAUAGCAUGGAACGAUUAUGUUGAUCUUGUCGACUGUUGGUUGUUGACAUUGGUCUCGAUUAAAAGGGACAUUUGAGGGCGUUAGUACUUGGUGGCGAGGGGUGAAAUCCUUAGACCCAUCAAAGACUAACUAAUGCGAAAGCAUUCGCCAAGAGUGUUUUCAUUAAUCAAGAACGAAAGUAGGAGGUUCGAAGACGAUCAGAUACCGUCCUAGUUCCUUACAGUAAACUAUGCCAACAUGGGAUUAGCCCGGUUUAAUCCAGGUUGGGCCCUCGGUGAAAAUAAGUGUUUCGGCUUCGGGGAGAGUGCGCACGCAAGUGGUAAAUUUAAAGAAAUUGACGGAAUGGCACCACCAGGAGUGGAGCCUGCGGCUUAAUUUGAUUCAACACGGGGAAACUCACCAGGUCCAGACAUUGAUAGGAUUGACAGACUGAGAGAUCUUUCAUGAUUUGAUGAUUGGUGGUGCAUGGCCGUUCUUAGUUGGUGGAGUGAUCUGUCAGGUUUAUUCCGGUAACGAGCGAGACCACGAUCUUUAAUUGAUUACGACCAUAUUGUCUUGGUCGAUUUUAAGAGACCACCGGAGUUAAGCCGGGGGGAAGCGUGGCAAUAACAGGUCUGUGAUGCCUUCGAUGGUCUGGGGCUGCACGUCGUCUACAUCAUAGAUGAACAACCAAAGGUUUUCUUC